UACGUAGGGUGCGAGCGUGUCCGGAAUUAUUGGGCGUAAAGAGCUCGUAGGCGGUCUGUUACGUCGGCUGUGAAAACCUGAGGCUCAACCUCAGGCCUGCAGUCGAUACGGGCGGACUUGAGUACUGCAGGGGAGACUGGAAUUCCUGGUGUAGCGGUGAAAUGCGCAGAUAUCGGGAGGAACACCGGUGGCGAAGGCGGUUCUCUGGGCCUUACCUGACGCUGAGGAGCGAAAGCGUGGGGAGCGAACAGG
rnacentral:rRNA from 1 species